rnacentral:rRNA from 1 species
UACGUAGGGUCCGAGCGUUGUCCGGAAUUACUGGGCGUAAAGAGCUCGUAGGCGGUCUGUCGCGUCGGAUGUGAAAGCCCGGGGCUUAACCCCGGGUCUGCAUUCGAUACGGGCAGACUAGAGUGUGGUAGGGGAGAUCGGAAUUCCGUGGUGUAGCGGUGAAAUGCGCAGAUAUCAGGAGGAACACCGGUGGCGAAGGCGGAUCUCUGGGCCAUUACUGACGCUGAGGAGCGAAAGCGUGGGGAGCGAACAGG